rnacentral:rRNA from 1 species
UUUUCCGGUUGAUCCUGCCGGACCCUACUGCUAUCGGGGGAGGACUAAAACAUGCAAGUCGUGCGUCUCCAAGCCAUGGUGGAGACGCGGCAUACGGCUCAGUAACACGUGGCUAACCCACCCUUGAGACGGAGAAAACCCCGGGAAACUGGGGCUAAUCUCCGAUAAGAGAAGACACCUGGAACGGGUCUCCUCUUAAAGGGCGCUUAGACCAUGCUUUUAGGCGUUGCUCAAGGACGGGGCCGCGGCCGAUCAGGUUGUUGGUGAGGCAAUGGCUCACCAAGCCUUUAACCGGUACGGGCCGUGAGAGCGGGAGCCCGGAGAUGGGCACUGAGACAAGGGCCCAGGCCCUACGGGGCGCAGCAGUUGCGAAAACUCCGCAAUGCACGAAAGUGUGACGGGGCUACCCCGAGUGCCGUCCGCUGAGGGCGGCUUUUCCCUGGUGUAAGGAGCCGGGGGAAUAAGGAGAGGGCAAGUCUGGUGUCAGCCGCCGCGGUAAUACCAGCUCUCCGAGUGGUAGGGAUGAUUAUUGGGCUUAAAGCGUCCGUAGCCGGCCUGGCAAGUCUUCCGUUAAAUCCAACGAUUCAAUCGUUGGACUGCGGGGGAUACUGUUGGGCUAGGGGGCGGGAGAGGUCGACGGUAUUCUUGGGGUAGGGGUAAAAUCCUAUAAUCCCGGGAAGACCACCAGUGGCGAAGGCGGUCGGCUAGAACGCGCUCGACGGUGAGGGACGAAAGCUGGGGGAGCGAACCGGAUUAGAUACCCGGGUAGUCCCAGCUGUAAACGAUGCGGGCUAGGUGUUGGGGCGGCUACGGGCCGCUUCAGUGCCGCAGGGAAACCAUUAAGCCCGCCGCCUGGGGAGUACGGCCGCAAGGCUGAAACUUAAAGGAAUUGGCGGGGGAGCACAA